rnacentral:tRNA from 1 species
GCCCGGAUGGCGGAAUUGGUAGACGCGCAUGAUUCAGAGUCAUGUAUUCGCAAGGAUGUGCAGGUUCGAUCCCUGUUCCGGGCACUA